UAAAGAACUUGCCUCACAGCUAGGGACAACAUUUAGAAAUGAAUGCUAAUACCUGAUAUUAUGAUUUUAAGGCAUCUUAGAAUUAUGAAAGCUAUAAGCACUGUGAGAGAGCUUUGCGUCCCAUUAGCUAGUUGGAGAGGUAACAGCUCACCAAGGCAAUGAUGGGUAGCCGGCCUGAGAGGGUGAACGGCCACAAGGGGACUGAGACACGGCCCUU
rnacentral:rRNA from 1 species